rnacentral:rRNA from 1 species
UACGUAGGUGGCAAGCGUUGUUCGGAAUUAUUGGGCGUAAAGGGCGCGUAGGCGGUUUGUUAAGUCGGUCGUGAAAGCCCCGGGCUCAACCUGGGAAUUGCAUUUGAGACUGCAUAGCUAGGGUGCGGAAGAGGGAAGCGGAAUUUCCGGUGUAGCGGUGAAAUGCGUAGAUAUCGGAAGGAACAUCAGUGGCGAAAGCGGCUUCCUGGUCCAGCACCGACGUUCAGGCACGAAAGCGUGGGGAGCAAACAGG